AUGGCGGCGGAAAGCGGCAGCAGUGUUCGGAUUCAUCCGACUGGUCUAGCUGUCUAGUGGCAGCAGUGAUGAUGAAGCGGGUUGUAGGCUCUCCUAACUGGUUAAUGAGAAGGGCAAAGAGAGUGAGGAUAGUGAUUCCACGUCUCUUGAUCACACAGAGGCAGAGCUGGACAUUUUUGCCGAUGGUUUUGAGAUAAGUAAAGAUGUCAACGAUUAUGAUGCCCAUAUUCAGCUGAUCAAUGCAGCCAAGGGGCUGAGUGAUUCUCCUCAAAGUCAAAUCUUUGACAGUCACAGAUUAAAAGGUUUAGCUCGAAAGAGAAUGAGCAAGUAUUUUCCAUUAACUCCAGAGGUGUGGAUGGACCCAGAGGUAAAAGCUGAACGAAACUGUCAUUUGUUCCGAGAGCACUGAAUCUGAAAUCUUCAAAAUAGGAAAAAUGAAAAAGCAUUCUUUGAUCCUAUCAACAGUUAAUUUGUUAAAAAAAUGUACUAAAUUAACCGUCUUUUGUAUGGUUCCAUACUACCGUAGUAGUAUCUGUUUUUUAAUGCUUACUGUGUUUAUUACCUAAAACUUGUGGAAACUAGUACUUAACAAACCAAAGCACAGGAACCUGCCACAUUUUGUUAUGGUAACUUCAUUUUCAUUGCCCAUCUGAAUAGAGCUGCUUAGGCUAAAGAAAAUUAUUGCUUCAAAAGUUUAUGCUAAGCAGCAGUAAACAGCAGUAAGCAGGAUACCAGUCACAGAUCCUACAUAAAAUAGUAUUUUAGUUGGUAACCUUUUUCUAGUUAGCAUAAUAUGAUUGUGCUUAAGCAUCUCUAUGAUAGAUCCCAGAUGAGUUUAAGAUUCGACAAACCAAUAAUGAUAACUUCAUUGCACAACUUCAUAGAGCUGCUUAAGCUUAAGACAAUAUUGCUUCAAACGUUUAUGCUAAGCAGCAGUUAACCGCAGUAAGCAGGAUACAAGUAUUAUAGUUUGUAAACCAUUUUCUUUUAAGCAUAAUUUUGUUGUGCUUAGCUAGUUUUUGUGCUUAAGCUGCUCUGUGAUAGAUCCCAGACGAGUUUAAAGGAACACGUUGCCUUGUAUCGGACGAGUUGGUCUUUAAAAAGCGUUUAUAACCGUUUGUUAUAAA